rnacentral:rRNA from 1 species
CCUACGGGUGGCAGCAGUCGAGAAUCAUUCACAAUGGGGGAAACCCUGAUGGUGCGACGCCGCGUGGGGGAAUGAAGCUCUUCGGAUUGUAAACCCCUGUCAUGUGGGAGCAAAUGAAAAAGAUAGUACCACAAGAGGAAGUGACGGCUAACUCUGUGCCAGCAGCCGCGGUAAUACAGAGGUCUCAAGCGUUGUUCGGAAUCACUGGGCGUAAAGGGUGCGUAGGCGGUGUCGUAAGUCGUGUGUGAAAGGGGCGGGCUCAACCCGCGGCCGGCACAUGAUACUGCGAGACUAGAGUAAUGGAGGGGGAACCGGAAUUCGCGGUGUAGCAGUGAAAUGCGUAGAUAUCGAGAAGAACACUCGUGGCGAAGGCGGGUUCCUGGACAUUAACUGACGCUGAGGCACGAAGGCCAGGGGAGCGAAAGGGAUUAGAUACCCUUGUAGUC